AGUCAGGAUGGCCGAGUGGUCUAAGGCGCCAGACUCAAGUUCUGGUCUUCGUGAGAGGGCGUGGGUUCAAACCCCACUUCUGACAU
rnacentral:tRNA from 1 species